GUGGAAGGGAGGGUCUCUGGAGGGCGGAGUUCCGGGGUUUGGAGACCAAUUCAAGCUUUAAAGGUUAUAAACAUCUGCAGUCGAAGAUUCAGUAGGGGAAAAAAACAACUACCCUUUAAUUCUGGCUACUCUCCUGCCCUACCUGAACUGAAAAUACCUGGCACAUUCGUGGCUGCUGCUUAGCCUUGGCUGGAAUUGGAGAUUCCUACCGCUUCCUUGCACGUUACGUUAUUUCUCCUCCCGGACCCCCUUCCACUGUGAUAGUCCUGUAGGCACAGUGCUUCCACGUGUCACAGCCAUGCAAAGUUCUGUUACCUGCAGUGUCCUCACUGGCCCACUGGAGUUUCUUGAGCAGUAAAGGCAGGUUUGGCUUAAAUACGGGUUACGCUAAAAUAUUUAUGUUCUUUCAACAUACAGCUAUCACAUCAAUUUCCUGCAUAGAAAGAAAGAGAGAUAUGUAAUACUCCAGCUACUAUUGUUUGACGUUCAGAAUCUUGGGUGGGGUCGACCUUUUCUUAUGUUUUCCUGAAAUGUUGAUUGGGAUCUCUUGUCAGAGAUGAUCAGGGUUAAAAAUAAUUGUACAAUUUUAACACCAGUUAUCCUACUGGUCAGCAAAAAUGGUAGUGCUGAGGUUUAGCCUAUUGGUGUAACCAUUUUUAAGUACACACUUGAGAAGUAGCUCUGUGUGUAUAGCACUACUGUGCGGUUUAAAAAAUAACUACUAUUCGUUAGAGUCACAGGUGUAGAGAACAGUCUUACGGUUACCGGGGGACACCGGGGGGAGGAUAAACCGGGAGAUUGGGAUUGACAUACACACACUACUAUAUGCAAAACAGAUAAUAAGGACCUGCUGUAUAGCACAGGGAACUCUACUCAAUACUCUAUAAUGGCCUUUGGGAAAGGAAUCUUAAAAAGAGUGGAUGUAUGUAUAACUGAUUCACUUCGCUGUACACCUGAAACUAAUACAACAUUGUCAACCAACUAUGCUCCAAUAAAAAUUAAUU
rnacentral:lncRNA from 1 species